rnacentral:rRNA from 1 species
GUGACAGCAGCCGCGGUAAUACGUAGGUGGCGAGCGUUGUCCGGAUUUACUGGGCGUAAAGAGCGCGCAGGCGGCUGGGCAAGUCCGAUGUGAAAGCUUCCGGCUUAACUGGAAAAUUGCAUCGGAAACUGCUCGGCUUGAAGGUGGGAGAGGGUAGCGGAAUUCCCGGUGUAGUGGUGAAAUGCGUAGGCAUCGGGAGGAACACCAGUGGCGAAGGCGACUACCUGGCCCAUUCUUGACGCUGAGGCGCGAAAGCUAGGGGAGCGAACGGGAUUAGAUACCCGUGUAGUCC